AUAAAAUAUUUGCUGUAUACAUUUACAAUUUUAAAUUAUUUUUAUUUCUAGCUUAGAUGGGCAUGUUGCAGGUCUGACAGUUAUAAAUUGCAUCUGAGUAAUAUGUCUGUGAUAUUAAGAUUGGAUUUGCAUAAUAUUACUUUCGAAAUAGAGUACGUUCGCCACAAUUGUGGCAAUCGUUUGCCAUUAAGUUUGGGGACUUAAAGAUGAGUUCUUCGAUAUUGGACUCGGUUUUGAUUAACGUUAAUCACCACAUUACUCUUCCUCCAGUGAAUCGGAGGUGAAACGAAUGAUAUUUUGCCCUGUAUUUUGCUGUUAUUAGUGGUGAUAUUGGCUGUUGCGCCUUACGCAUUUUUAUUGUCUGAAUAUUUAUCAGCUUUAUUUAUUUAUUUUUUGGUUGAUUAUUUAUCAGCUUGAUUUAUUUAUUGGCUUAUUAUUUAUCAGUUUGAUUUAUUAAUUUUACAGUAUUCUUGAUUUUGGCAACUUUUUUAGAUGGUUUCCUGGUUCUUGGUUUUUUUUUUCUUGGAGGAGUUGUGGAUAUCCGUUUCUUAGGUGUGGGUGAAUGCUUUGGACUUCUGCAGGCUUUACGUUUCUUAGAUGCUGGUAAUCACUUGGGACUUAAGCGUUUUUGCAUAGGGCUCACUUUUUUAACCUUGGUGUGCCUUUGAAUAAACUGAGAUUGGGAUUGGAUGUGUAUGAAAAGUUAUGAUAGGGACUUAGUUGAAAUGCAAAGAAUGAGCGAAAUAAUUUAUCUUAAGACAUAAAGAGGCAGAUGGUUUCCUGGUUCUUGGUUUUUUUUUUCUUGGAGGAGUUGUGGAUAUCCGUUUCUUAGGUGUGGGUGAAUGCUUUGGACUUCUGCAGGCUUUACGUUUCUUAGAUGCUGGUAAUCACUUGGGACUUAAGCGUUUUUGCUUAGGGCUCACUUUUUUAACCUUGGUGUGCCUUUGAAUAAACUGAGAUUGGGAUUGGAUGUGUAAAUAUUUAAUUUUAUCAAUUUUUAAAAAUAAUUUAGUAUGGCCUAAUGUGUUUGUGCUUUACAUUUCUUUAACAAUACUGCAUGUUGAAUAUAAACAUUUUUUUGAUUUCCUUUUAUAGGUAUGAAAAGUUAUGAUAGGGACUUAGUUGAAAUGCAAAGAAUGAGCGAAAUAAUUUAUCUUAAGACAUAAAGAGGCAGGUAUGAAAAGUUAUGUAAGGGACUUGGUUGAAAUGCAAAGAAGGAGCUAAAGUAAUUAUAAGACAUUAAUCAGAAAUCAUGAUUAUGUGGCCAAAGAUGGAUAGCAACGACAUCAUUGAGCUGACGGAAGAAUAUAAAAAGAACUCCGGAAAAAUUUAUGGAAGUGUGUUCUGUACCGUAGCAAGAAGUUGCAGAGGAGAUUUGAUCUGGAAAAAAGAAAAUAAUAGCUUCAACAGAGUAGCAGCAUUCCAGUGAAAUAAGGGCAAUGCUGAAAGCUACUGUCUUAUCAGCCUGAUAAGGUAGUAGCUAUGCACACUCUAAUUAAUUUACUAAUAAUGCUGUGCUUCAUUUUCGCCAAAUUUCAAAGUGUAUCCUAAGACCAAUGUCUUUAGACGGUUUUAUUGUAAAAAAAAGGCAUGUAUUAAAAAUAGUAAUAUAUAUAUAUAUUGUGUGUGUGUAACGGGAAGGAUUGACCUAUUUUACAUGGUUUUCUCUGGAUAGAUAUUUUUUUUCUGCGUAACGAGGAUGUAGCGUUCUUUCGAAUAAGAUUCUAGAACGAAUUACGCUUAUUACGCAAGGUACCACUGUACAUGUUUCUUUAUAUAUUUCAACAAAAUUACACAAAGUAUUUGAUCAAAUAAAUGAUUUAAUAAUAAUUAAGAAAAUGAAGGAAAAAAAGAGACAAGUUAAUUAACAA